ncrna:Tamlana nanhaiensis S16-Flavobacteria ribosomal protein leader
AUUAAUAACCCGAGGUCGCGAACCUCAAUUAAUUAAU